CCAUCUCUUCUUUCCUUAUUAACACCAAAACCCUAAACCUAAUUCAUUCCUCUAAUCUUCUAAACCAAAUCAGCCGCCCCACCCCCUCUCUCUCUCGUCUCUCUCUAAAAAAUCGACCAUCGCCAAAGCCAAAACCGGCGCCUCCUCCGGCAACGCAGCAACCAACCUCCGCUGGUCAAGCUACCGCGAUCCCUCCGUUCUUCGACCAAGCCCCGCGCCACCAGAAGCCCUCAAACCACGCCUCCGACGACCUCUUCCAUUUCCUUCAAACCACCAGCCAACUUUGCCUCUCCGGCGAAGCUCCAAACGUCGCUGUUCCGCCUCCACAACAACAACAGCAACGAUGCUCUGCCGCCCCUCUCCUUUGCCAUCGCCAGACAUCAGUUUGCCUCCGUCCCAAUUCACCACCCACAACAACAAAAACAACAGCGGCAUUGCCGCCCUUUGCCGCCGCUGCUCCGGUCGAGUACACGAAACAUGACGGAUUCUUAAAUCCGUCAAAGGUUUGAUUUAUUGUUCAAUUUCAUUUCUUUCCUUAAGAUAUAAUCUGCGAUCUGAAAUUGAUGAAACUGGUUUAAGAGUUUUGAUAUAAUUUUUUAUAAUAUGAAUUUGUUAACGUGCUUAGGUCGUCAUAUAAAGUUUUGAUUUUAGUGAUGUUUAAUUACGCCCUAAAUAUUUUUGAAUUGGUGGUUGAUUGAUAUUCAUAUUCAGCUUGUGGAAUCAUUGUUCUAGCUUGUGAAAUUGUUAUUCUUGCUUAUGGGUUGCAUUUUUCUGAUCUAUUCAUUGGCAAAAUAUUUGAUGCAUAGGUGGAUAGAUUCUUCUUAAUCGUGAUGGAUUUGACACUUAGUGUUUGUAGUGAAGAAUAUUUGAUUUAACUGAUACAAUGAGAUUGAUUUUUGUGAUCAAAUUUUGGGCAUAAUCAAAUUACCGUGAUAAUGAAAUGUUAUACUUGAUCAUCUGUCCAAUCUUAUCGCAUAUGGUAAAUAUUGAAACUGAUGCAUUUUAUUCAUUCUUUUGUCCACCUAAUUACGGUAAAUUUGGCUUCUAAUCGAUUCCAUCUAGUUAAUUAACAAAAAUAAUAUUGUUGUUACUUUUCUAAAUAUUGGCUUUCCUUUUAUUCCUUGGAUUGAUUUGUAUGUGAUUGAUUCAGUUAGGAGAAAUUCUCUCUUAAUUGGUUGACAAGAAUAUUGUUUUGAUAUUUUUAUCUUGGUAUGGUUUUACAUUACUUGGCUAUAAAAAUAAAUCCUCCUCGUCCUUUGAGGGGAACUGACACACUAUGAUUUCUAAUCUCCUCUCUACCCUCUCGCAUACAAAAAGACAAAUAUUGAUGUUCCUUUUCUCUGGCAGAACUUACAAUAUAUAUUCCCUCUCCUAUUUUAUUUUGGUCUGAUACACUCUCUAUACGAAAACAUGAAAAGAGAGACACAAUAUUUUUGCUCGUUGCUUUCAAAAUACUUGGUUCAAUCUCUGACUAUAGUUGCUCCCUUUGUUGCAAUAUUCUGAUUUUAUUUUCAUAUUAAUUCACCAAACCGGUUAGUUUUCUUAUUUCAUUUUUCGUAGUCCUAAACUCCUUUAAUGAUGACAUGUUGUCGCUUUUGUGAUUACUUGAAUUAUUUUGUUGUGUUGUCUUUUGUGAUUGUUAUCAUGUUUUAUUCGAUCAAUGUAAGAAUCCGUAUACCAUACAACUUGUUUGUGUUUGUGUACUUUGUGAUGUUCGAGCAGGUACUUUGGUCGAGUUGUGCUAGAAUGUUGCUGUCUUCAUGGAUAUAUCGCCUUGAUUUACUUUUUAUUUCUCUUUUAUUACGAUUCAAAUUUGUACUAAUGUGUUGUGUAAACAUCUAUAUAGUAAUAAAUUAUGAAGACUGCUUGGGAGCGGGGGUUUAUGUGUUUUACGUACCAUGUGAAUCACUUAGGCAAAUAAAUUUAGGAUUUAUUACUUGACUUGUUUGUCAUUUAGACAAAUCUAAUUUAGGAUUUAUUUCAAUCGCCUAGAAAUCAUGUUUUUAGGAGUUUAAUUAAUAUCCGCCUUGCUAAAUCACAUUUGAACACGAUAACUUAAUUUACAACAUGUUUAUUGACUCUUGCAUGUUUAACAAUUGUGGACAUAUUACAAAAUGACAUUAUUAGCGUUUAAAUCACUCUUUCAACAAUUAUACUCUUAGCAUUCAAAAUAACAUUUUUUGGCAUUUUAAAUAAUAUUUUCAACACAUUAAAUAAUGUUUUCUGCAUAUUAAAAUUAAUUUUCAGCACAUUAGUUAAUUUGCAGUAUUAUAAAAUAAUAUUUUUGGCACUAUAAUUAAUUUUCAGCAUUCCUAUUUGUCUUUCCGUAUAUUUCAUUAAUUUUUACUUAGUAAAACAAUUUUCAGCAUCUACGUAUUAAAAAAAAUAGCUUUUUAUUUCUCUGUCAAAGUCAUGGUGCGGUUUUUGACUUUCACAAUUUUAAACUAGACAUGACAUUUUACUCUUUGUACUAUCUCCUAACCUAUAGUUAGCGGGAAAUUAAAAAGAAUCACGAGGUCUAAUUUUUAUAUUUUAAAUUAAUUUGAUACAGUUUCGGGAGCAUCACGUACCAAAAGUUUAAAAAAGCGGAGACUAUGCAUACAUACAUAAAUAUUUUUUUAUUUGUCUUUAAAAAUUAUAAUGUUAUUAUUUUCACUAAAACUGACCUCCAAUUAAAAUUGUUGCUAAGUUGAAUGAGCGCGAUUUGAUAUUGUGGAAUCGUUUCUGUAAAGCAACAAACAGUUUUUUAAGAAACAAAAACUAUCUUCUUUUUUUUUUUUUAAGUUUUGAAUAUUAUUCCUCUAUCAAAAUAAGUUAGCUACUGUGCAUUUUUCUUAUUUCUUUACUUAUUUGGGGUAGUUUAAAAUUUUUUAUUUGCUUAGUAAUUUUUGUUAUGAUUUAUGUCACCUCUUUUUCCUCGCUUGUCUUAUUUACAUAUUUUUAUCGAUUUUAUCACUUAGAUAAUUAAUAAUUAGAAAUGACAAAAAUAGCCUGUGUUUGUUUAUUAAUUACAUUAUCACUUAGUUAACAUUUAAGUUAAUAAAACAAAAGACCUUUAUUUGAACACAUAGAAUCCCCAGGUAAAGUACGAAUUUGGUCAGGAACCACCUUUGUGGACCUCAAAAGGUGCCUAACACCUUCCUUUUGGGGUAAUUUGAACCCUUACCCGAACUCUGGUGAACUAAGACAAAAUAACAAAAUAGGUUCGUAGUUAGCCUAGACCGAUGCCCUAAUGCACCUUAAUUCUUUAGGUGGUGACUCUUCACACUCUUUCUUAACGCAAUCUCAAAAAGAGUUUGUCACGUCAAAUCCGCUUUCCACGAGGAAAAUGGGGCGCGACAACUAUCUCACUGCGAAAUCUUGCAGUCUUGUCAGACGGGAAGAACCGAAUAAAAAAUUUUCUGGCCAUGUUAUCCCAUGAUGUGAUUGAAUUUGCUAGUUCUACAUUCAACCACUUUUUUGCUUCCCUAAUCAGUGAAAAGGCGAAUAAUGCCAUCCUCACAUAAUCUGCAUUCACGCCCGUAGGAAUGAACGUGUCACUGAUUUCCAAAAAAUUUUGCAAGAAGACCUGUGGAUCUUCAUGUGAAAGCCCAAUGAACUGUCCACUGCUAAUCAUAAGUUGUACCAUAUUCUGUUAAGCUUAAAAUUGCCUCUAGCUGUCGGCUUCUGAAACGGGGAGGUCAAAUUGGUUGGAAAUAGGAUUGCCACUUCUGUGACUGUCCUGUGGGUUGCUUGUUCAUCA
rnacentral:lncRNA from 1 species